rnacentral:rRNA from 1 species
AGAGUUUGAUCCUGGCUCAGAUUGAACGCUGGCGGCAUGCUUUACACAUGCAAGUCGAACGGAAACGAUAGUAGCUUGCUACUAGGCGUCGAGUGGCGGACGGGUGAGUAACGCGUAGGAAUCUACCAGAUAGUGGGGGAUAGCCCGGAGAAAUUCGGAUUAAUACCGCAUAAUCUCUACGGAGUAAAGGAGGCCUCUAUUUAAGAUUUAUCGCUAUAAGAUGAGCCCGCGGUGGAUUAGGUAGUUGGUGAGGUAAAGGCUCACCAAGCCGAUGAUCCAUAGCUGGUUUGAGAGAAUGACCAGCCACACUGGGACUGAGACACGGCCCAGACUCCUACGGGAGGCAGCAGUGGGGAAUCUUAGACAAUGGGGGCAACCCUGAUCUAGCCAUGCCGCGUGAGUGAAGAAGGCCUUAGGGUUGUAAAGCUCUUUCACCUGUGAGGAUGAUGACAGUAACAGGAUAAGAAGGACCGGCUAACUCCGUGCCAGCAGCCGCGGUAAGACGGAGGGUCCUAGCGUUGUUCGGAAUAACUGGGCGUAAAGGGUACGUAGGCGGUUUUGUAAGUUAGAUGUGAAAUCCCAGGGCUCAACCUUGGAACUGCAUUUAAAACUGCAAAACUAGAGUGUGGGAGAGGAAGAUGGAAAUUAGUGGUGUAGGGGUAAAAUCCGUAGAUAUCACUAGGAAUACCGAAAGCGAAGGCGAUCUCCUGGAACAAUACUGACGCUAAGGUGUGAAAGCGUGGGGAGCAAACGGGAUUAGAUACCCCGGUAGUCCACGCCCUAAACGAUGAACACUAGUCGUCGGAAUGCUAGUCAUUUCGGUGAUGCACUUAACAGAUUAAGUGUUCCGCCUGGGGAGUACGGUCGCAAGAUUAAAACUCAAAGGAAUAGACGGGGACCCGCACAAGUGGUGGAGCAUGUGGUUUAAUUCGAUGCAACGCGAAGAACCUUACCUGCCCUUGACAUCCUCAGAACUUGUCAGAGAUGACUCGGUGCCUUCGGGAACUGAGAGACAGGUGCUGGCAUGGCUGUCGUCAGCUCGUGUCGUGAGAUGUUGGGUUAAGUCCCGCAACGAGCGCAACCCUCGCCUUUAGUUGCCAGCAUUUAGUUGGGCACUCUAGCGGGACUGCCGGUGUCAAACCGGAGGAAGGCGGGGAUGACGUCAAGUCAUCAUGGCCCUUAUGGGCAGGGCUACACACGUGCUACAAUGGUCGGUACAGAGGGUUGCCAAGCCGCGAGGUGGAGCUAAUCCCAGAAAGCCGAUCUUAGUCCGGAUUGCAGUCUGCAACUCGACUGCAUGAAGUCGGAAUCGCUAGUAAUCGCGAAUCAGAACGUCGCGGUGAAUACGUUCCCGGGCCUUGUACACACCGCCCGUCACACCAUGGUAGUGGGUUGCAAAAGAAGUGGGUAGACUAACCUUCGGGAGGUCGCUCACCACUUUGUGAUUCAUGACUGGGGUGAAGUCGGAACAAGGUAGCC